rnacentral:rRNA from 1 species
AUUGAACGCUGGCGGCAUGCCUUACACAUGCAAGUCGAACGGUAACGGGCCUUCGGGUGCCGACGAGUGGCGAACGGGUGAGUAAUACAUCGGAACGUGCCCGAUCGUGGGGGAUAACGAGGCGAAAGCUUUGCUAAUACCGCAUACGAUCUACGGAUGAAAGCAGGGGACCGCAAGGCCUUGCGCGGACGGAGCGGCCGAUGGCAGAUUAGGUAGUUGGUGGGAUAAAAGCUUACCAAGCCGACGAUCUGUAGCUGGUCUGAGAGGAUGAUCAGCCACACUGGGACGGGGACACGGCCCAGACCCCUAGGGGGGGCAGAAGGGGGGAAUUUGGGACAAGGGGGGAAAGCCUGACCAAGCCAGGCCGGGUGAAGGAGGAAGGCCUUCGGGUUGGAAACGGCUUUUGUACGGAACAAAAAGCCUUUUUUUAAAACAGGAGGGUAAGGACGGUACCGAAAAAAUAAGCACCGGCUAACUACGU